UAAAAGGCUUAGGGACCGGCCUUAUCCGAGAUUCUGCGAUUGGCGACGUUGACUCGAAUUCAUCACUGGCCGAACCGACAUCCACCUCAGUUUCCUCAAUCGGACGAUCAUCCAUUGCGGUCGCAAUAAUUAUUAGGUGGAUGGGCCGUACCGCAAUUUACAUUCCCGUCCUCUGGUUGGUGGGAAACAAACCAAUGACGUUACCAGGAACUCAAGCUCGUUGAUGCUGGUCGCCAUCUUUAGACAAGGGAGUUCCCUCUCUAUCUUUUUAUAUUUCUAACUCCCUCACUCUUCAGUGCUACGACGCAUUUAAUGGGAAACACAUUGCCCUCGCAGAACAUCCUCUUUCGCGACUCAUUAACCCUGAAAUGCCAUAUGAACACCUGACACGCCACCACGUUGCUGCACUGCAGAUCCUGUACAGAUAUCUAUAGCUCCUGUUCGUCAUAUCAUCAUCAUUAUCAUCAUCUACAUCGCCAUCUAUUCUAUUA